rnacentral:tRNA from 1 species
AUUUUUCUAGUAUAAAAAUAGUAUACCUGACUUCCAAUCAGUAGGAUUGAUCAAAAAUCAAGAAAAAUA